rnacentral:tRNA from 1 species
GGGCGGAUAGCUCAGGUGGGAGAGCGCCGGCCUUACAAGCCGGAGGUCGUAGGUUCAAAUCCUGCUCCGCCUA